UACAGAGGGUGCAAGCGUUAAUCGGAAUUACUGGGCGUAAAGCGCGCGUAGGUGGUUCGUUAAGUUGGAUGUGAAAUCCCCGGGCUCAACCUGGGAACUGCAUUCAAAACUGUCGAGCUAGAGUAUGGUAGAGGGUGGUGGAAUUUCCUGUGUAGCGGUGAAAUGCGUAGAUAUCAGGAGGAACACCGGUGGCGAAGGCGCUCAUCUGGCCCAAUACUGACGCUGAGGCGCGAAAGCUAGGGGAGCAAACGGG
rnacentral:rRNA from 1 species